GAUGAACGCUGGCGGCGUGCCUAAUACAUGCAAGUCGAGCGAACGGACGAGAAGCUUGCUUCUCUGAUGUUAGCGGCGGACGGGUGAGUAACACGUGGAUAACCUACCUAUAAGACUGGGAUAACUUCGGGAAACCGGAGCUAAUACCGGAUAAUAUUUUGAACCGCAUGGUUCAAAAGUGAAAGACGGUCAUGCUGUCACUUAUAGAUGGAUCCGCGCUGCAUUAGCUAGUUGGUAAGGUAACGGCUUACCAAGGCAACGAUGCAUAGCCGACCUGAGAGGGUGAUCGGCCACACUGGAACUGAGACACGGUCCAGACUCCUACGGGAGGCAGCGGUAGGGAAUCUUCCGCAAUGGGCGAAAGCCUGACGGAGCAACGCCGCGUGAGUGAUGAAGGUCUUCGGAUCGUAAAACUCUGUUAUUAGGGAAGAACAUAUGUGUAAGUAACUGUGCACAUCUUGACGGUACCUAAUCAGAAAGCCACGGCUAACUACGUGCCAGCAGCCGCGGUAAUACGUAGGUGGCAAGCGUUAUCCGGAAUUAUUGGGCGUAAAGCGCGCGUAGGCGGUUUUUUAAGUCUGAUGUGAAAGCCCACGGCUCAACCGUGGAGGGUCAUUGGAAACUGGAAAACUUGAGUGCAGAGGGGGAGAGUGGAAUUCCAUGUGUAGCGGUGAAAUGCGUAGAUAUAUGGAGGAACACCGGUGGCGAAAGCGGCUCUUCUGGCUUGUAACUGACGCUGAGGCUCGAAAGCGUGGGGAGCAAACAGGAUUAGAUACCCUGGUAGUCCACGCCGUAAACGACGAGUGCUAGGUGUUAGACCCUUUCCGGGGUUUAGUGCCGUAGCUAACGCAUUAAGCACUCCGCCUGGGGAGUACGACCGCAAGGUUGAAACUCAAAGGAAUUGACGGGGGCCCGCACAAGCGGUGGAGCAUGUGGUUUAAUUCGAAGCAACGCGAAGAACCUUACCAGGUCUUGACAUCCCUCUGACCGCUCUAGAGAUAGAGUUUUCCUUCGGGACAGAGGUGACAGGUGGUGCAUGGUUGUCGUCAGCUCGUGUCGUGAGAUGUUGGGUUAAGUCCCGCAACGAGCGCAACCCCUAUUGUUAGUUGCCAUCAUUGAGUUGGGCACUCUAGCGAGACUGCCGGUAAUAAACCGGAGGAAGGUGGGGAUGACGUCAAAUCAUCAUGCCCCUUAUGACCUGGGCUACACACGUGCUACAAUGGCUGGUACAACGAGUCGCAAGCCGGUGACGGCAAGCUAAUCUCUUAAAGCCAGUCUCAGUUCGGAUUGUAGGCUGCAACUCGCCUACAUGAAGUCGGAAUCGCUAGUAAUCGCGGAUCAGCACGCCGCGGUGAAUACGUUCCCGGGCCU
rnacentral:rRNA from 1 species